rnacentral:rRNA from 1 species
UACGGGGGGGGUUAGUGUUAUUCAUCGUUACUGGGUGUAAAGCGUGUGUAGGCGGAUCGUUAAGUACCUUGUGAAAUCCCACGGCUCAACCGUGGAACGGCUGGGUAUACUGGCGGUCUUGGGCCAUUCAGGGGCGACUGGAACAAGCGGUGGAGCGGUGAAAUGCGUAGAUAUCGCUUGGAACGCCGAAGGUGAAAACAGGUCGCUGGGGAUGUGCCGACGCUGAGACACGAAAGCCAGGGGAGCAAACGGG